rnacentral:tRNA from 1 species
GAGGUUGUAGCUCAGCUGGAUAGAGCAUCUCACUCCUAACGAGAAGGCCGGCGGUUCGAAUCCGCCCAACCUCACAA